rnacentral:lncRNA from 1 species
UUAACCAAAAAUCCUCCAAAGACUUCAAAUUAAGAUAGGAAUUUCGACUUUCGAAAGAAAUAAAUGAUGGUGUGAAAACUUCAAAAGUGAUUUGUGAAUGAUUAAGAGAGUGAUUGAGAUAUUAGAAGGUUGGUAGAGUGUUGAAUGGUCAUGAAGUGCUGAAUAUUUAUAGAACAAAGUUGGUAGCACUCUGAAUAAUAAAUAAAUUUUUAGAGAAAAUGACUAGAAUGUAUAACAAAAGUUGGUUUAUUA